UACGUAGGGUGCAAGCGUUGUCCGGAAUUAUUGGGCGUAAAGAGCUCGUAGGCGGUCUGUCACGUCGGCUGUGAAAACCCGGGGCUCAACCCCGGGCCUGCAGUCGAUACGGGCAGACUAGAGUGCGGUAGGGGAGACUGGAAUUCCUGGUGUAGCGGUGAAAUGCGCAGAUAUCAGGAGGAACACCGGUGGCGAAGGUGGGUCUCUGGGCCGUAACUGACGCUGAGGAGCGAAAGCGUGGGGAGCGAACAGG
rnacentral:rRNA from 1 species